rnacentral:rRNA from 1 species
AUGAACGCUGGCGGCGUGCCUAAUACAUGCAAGUCGAGCGAACAGACGAGGAGCUUGCUCCUCUGACGUUAGCGGCGGACGGGUGAGUAACACGUGGAUAACCUACCUAUAAGACUGGGAUAACUUCGGGAGACCGGAGCUAAUACCGGAUAAUAUAUUGAACCGCAUGGUUCAAUAGUGAAAGACGGUUUUGCUGUCACUUAUAGAUGGAUCCGCGCCGCAUUAGCUAGUUGGUAAGGUAACGGCUUACCAAGGCAACGAUGCGUAGCCGACCUGAGAGGGUGAUCGGCCACACUGGAACUGAGACACGGUCCAGACUCCUACGGGAGGCAGCAGUAGGGAAUCUUCCGCAAAGGGCGAAAGCCUGACGGAGCAACGCCGCGUGAGUGAUGAAGGUCUUCGGAUCGUAAAACUCUGUUAUUAGGGAAGAACAAAUGUGUAAGUAACUAUGCACGUCUUGACGGUACCUAAUCAGAAAGCCACGGCUAACUACGUG